UCUUAAAUUUGAGCUUUAUGUAAAUAUUCAAAAACAUUUAACCUACUGAUGCCUCAAUUAAUGUAAUUUUAUUGGUAUCUAUUUUUAUUUCUGAAAUUUGCCAGCCUCAGCUUAUACUGGAGUCAAUGUUUUCCCAGUUUUUUUAUGGUAAAAUUAGGUGCCUCGGCUUAUAUUCAGGUCGGCUUAUACUCAAGUAUAUACGGUACAUUAUCAGUUGGCAUUUAACUGACCUCUUUGGUUGUUGUAUGAGAGUAAAUGUGGACAACUGGGUGGCACAUCAUCUCCUUCAUUAUGAGCUGCCAUUAGACAAAGGUUGUGUCUAAUUAUGCUCUCAUGUUAGGCCUAAUACAUUGAAGAAGUUGAGAAUAAUGAUUUGAUCAGAGUUGGACAGUCUUAUCUUAAAUUUGAGCUUUAUGUAAAUAUUCAAAAACAUUUAACCUACUGAUGCCUCAAUUAAUGUAAUUUUAUUGGUAUCUAUUUUUAUUUCUGAAAUUUGCCAGCCUCAGCUUAUACUGGAGUCAAUGUUUUCCCAGUUUUUUUAUGGUAAAAUUAGGUGCCUCGGCUUAUAUUCAGGUCGGCUUAUACUCAAGUAUAUACGGUACAUUAUCAGUUGGCAUUUAACUGACCUCUUUGGUUGUUGUAUGAGAGUAAAUGUGGACAACUGGGUGGCACAUCAUCUCCUUCAUUAUGAGCUGCCAUUAGACAAAGAUGCAAUUAUAGAAGAACUUGUGACAAUCCAAAAUCUUGUUUGCAUGGCUGCACAGAGCAGGAAACCAGCUGCCACUCACUCAUGCAAGGCCCAAAUCAAAGGAGAGUAGGCACGGUGACCUUUUAACUGCUGUGCAGAAGAGGACAGGUUGAUAAGUACAGCUUGUCAUCCAGGGAACUAAAGUGGGAUGGUGCUGUUACAUUCGGCUCUUUCACCUGGACUUCCUAAAGCCAGUUGGUUGACCAUUAGAUAAACAGAAGGCUUUGCUCUGAUUCACAUGGAUGUUUUGAAAGUUCUUGGCUGGUGAGGAGUUAUUUAUAGCUAAAAUCGAAAGAACCAUAAUAGCAUUUUGAGGAGACUCAAAGUUUGCAGAGGAACCAUGAAGAAUACAACUUUUUGUAUCUUGAGCAGACUGUGAAACUGUGUUUCAAAAAGUUCACUUUGGAGAACUUGACAAAGAACUUUUCCCAUUUGCAAAACAACUUCCAUUUGCCCAAGAUUUUCCUCCAGCUUCCUCUAUUCCCAAAUGCUAUGUUAAUAAUGUUGCCUGAGGGAGUUUUGUACUCCUCCAGAGAAACUAAUGGAUUCAAAUAAUGGUGAAGUAAUACAUACAACAACUGGCAAUGUGGUAAACAAACAUCCAGAGUAAACAGCAUAAUAAACAAACAUUCAUUUAUUUAAA